GCUUCAUGGCUCACAAAUCCUCUCCACUUUCUGAAAUCUCACAGUGUGUAACACACUAGACUAUGUAUUCAUAAUGAGGAUUCUAGAACUACAAGGGCCCACAAGCAACUGCUGCAUACCAGGUCCUAUUCUUUUUAGUAGAGACAGAGAAAGCAGCUGUAAGCAACAAGGCUGAAGUCUCUGCUGCUCCACAACCUACCUGCCAGUUUGGUCACAGGUAUCUCCCAAGAUACACAAUCACCUGGAGUGGAAGCUUCAGGACAACAGGGCUGGGAACCUGCGUGUUUCAGAUAAGAUACCUCUUGGAUACCUCUUGAUUCACUCUUCUUCCUGCCACUGUGGUGAGGAUCAUUGAGUCUUUGACCAGCUUUAUGCAGUUGCAUGAAUACCCUUUAUGGAGGUUACCAAAUCCAGCAAAGUCAUCUUCCUACUAGAAAAAGACAGCAUCUCCUCAUCCUGCAUUCACUACAUGGUGGAACAAUGGGUGCUCAUGAGAGAUCGGGGGAAGAAAAGCAAAGAACCUGGUGUUGCCUCUUUGGGUUUUUCUGAGUUGGGAGUUUGGAGGCUGAAACCAAGAGGUCAGCUGGGACUGUGGUCUCAUCUGAGGCUUGACUGGGGGAGGAUUCACUGCCAAGCUCUCAUGGUGUUGGCAGCAUGCAGCUCCCUGAUGGCUGUCUGAGGGAUGGCCCCCAUUUCUGCUGGCUGUCAGCUCCUCAACCUGCAGCCCUCUCCAAAUGAGAGCUCAAACAACAAGGCAGCUUGCUUCUUCAAAUCCACCAAGGGAUAGUCUUCUUAAGACACUGCAGACUCACUGUGUAAAAAUUGUAAAAACACAAGGUAAUAUAAUCAUGUGCAUUCCAUCACCUUUGCCAUAUUCUGUUAGUUAAAGGCAGGUCACAGCUUCCACCCACCCUCAGGCGGUAGUGAAUUCUACCAGGCCACGCACAUCAGAAGAUGGGAUCACAGGGGCUACCUCAGAGGCUGCUGGCACUUCUGUUGACCUUCCACACUUUGACUUUAAAUUCUCCCACAACUCCCAAAUUUAAACACCAGCUUAGGCCAAACUCCAAAAUCCCAGAUUCACAUAUACAAUGCCUAGUGGGUCUCUCCAUAAGAAGAUCUACAAAUGAGAUUGAACUCACAUGUUCAUAACUCAGUCCUGAUUAUCUGCCUCUGCCAAAGUCCUCCCCAUCUUGUCUG